rnacentral:rRNA from 1 species
GGCUGGCGGCUGCCGUCUGUAUGGCCUUUGUGACAUACCUACAACUGUUGCUUCGGCGGGUAGGCCGUCCCCUGAAAAGGACGCCUCCCGGCCCGGACCGGACCCCCUGUGGGGCCGGACUCGGCGCCCGCCGGAGGAUAACCAAACGCUAUUUUAACGACGUUUCUUCUGAGUGGCAUAAGCAAAAUAAUCAAAACUUUUAACAACGGAUCUCUUGGUUCUGGCAUCGAUGAAGAACGCAGCGAAAUGCGAUAAGUAAUGUGAAUUGCAGAAUUCAGUGAAUCAUCGAAUCUUUGAACGCACAUUGCGCCCGCCAGCAUUCUGGCGGGCAUGCCUGUUCGAGCGUCAUUUCAACCCUCAAGCUCUGCUUGGUGUUGGGGCUCUACGGUCGACGUAGGCCCUCAAAGGUAGUGGCGGACCCUCCCGGAGCCUCCUUUGCGUAGUAACAUUUCGUCUCGCACUGGGAUCCGGAGGGACUCUUGCCGUAAAACCCCCCAAUUUUUCAAGGUUGACCUCGGAUCAGGUAGGAAUACCCGCUGAACUUAAGCAUAUCAUAGGGCGGGGAGGGAA